CUCGCGAUUACUCCACUCUUCUAUUCAGAUUUUCCUCUCUUUUCCCCUACACACACAGCAGCUCUCUUGGUGCCUUCUUCUCCUCCCAAACCGUGAACCCAUCUUCCCUCUCAACUCUAAUCUCUUCUUCACAUGAACUCGGUGUAGCAAGGAUUUAUGGACUGAAUUUCGUGAAGAAGGCAAGAGCAAGUGUUUCUAGGGGUUUAAAACCGUAGCUUGAGCUUGGAUCAUGGGUCUGGCUUCCAAGUGAAAGUUUCAUCAUCUACAAGACUAAAGUAGUGAUUAUCAACUUCAAAAGGGGUUCAAUUUACCGAUUAUUCUAAGGCACGCGUCAUGAUUGGAGACUUCAACUUGUUCUCCAAUGUAGAGUUCAAGUAAAUAGAACACGGGGAGUAUUCGAGUCAUGGGUUCUAUGCAGCCAAGAUGAUGUUCCUUUGGUUGCAGGUAUUCUGGUCGUAGUUGAUGGUGUUGUAGAAGUGUGCUUGGGAUAUUAUGACUGAAGCUUGCUGCAACGGUCAUAAUUGUAGGACUAUGGGCGUCCUCUAUUUUAUAGGUUUAGUAUAUGUCUUGUGACGCUUGUGUCACAUAUUAUUUGUAAAGCCAUUCUUUGAUGCAAUUAUUAUUUGGAUAAGCCUUAAACAGAUAGACAUUAUGGCUCUUUUGUGUAAAUAUCAGUUUAUGUUUAUA